rnacentral:misc_RNA from 1 species
GAGAAGAACGUAGCGAAAUGCGAUACGUAAUGUGAAUUGCAGAAUUCAGUGAAUCAUCGAGUCUUUGAACGCACAUUGCGCCCCCUGGUAUUCCGGGGGGCAUGCCUGUCCGAGCGUCAUUGCUGCCCUCAAGCACGGCUUGUGUGUUGGGCCUCCGUCCUCCUCCCGGGGGACGGGCCCGAAAGGCAGCGGCGGCACCGCGUCCGGUCCUCGAGCGUAUGGGGCUUCGUCACCCGCUCUUGUAGGCCCGGCCGGCGCUUGCCGACACAUCAAUAUUUUUUCCAGGUUGACCUCGGAUCAGGUAGGGAUACCCGCUGAACUUAAGCAUAUCAAUAAGCGGAGGA